rnacentral:rRNA from 1 species
UACGGAGGGUGCAAGCGUUAAUCGGAAUUACUGGGCGUAAAGCGUACGUAGGCGGCUUGUUAAGCAAGAUGUGAAAGCCCCGGGCUCAACCUGGGAAUGGCAUCUGAUACUGGGAAGCUAGAGUAUGUGAGAGGGUGGUAGAAUUUCCAGUGUAGCGGUGAAAUGCGUAGAUAUUGGAAGGAAUACCGGUGGCGAAGGCGGCCACCUGGUCAGAAACUGACGCUGAGGUACGAAAGCGUGGGGAGCAAACAGG